GCGAAAUUAACUCAACGGUCAGAGUGGUGAUCUUAUAAAUCACUGGUAGCUGGUUCGACUCCAGCAUUUCGCA
rnacentral:tRNA from 1 species